AUCCACCUUCGAGGACAUUCAAUAAAAUUGGAACGAUACAGUGAAGAUUAGCAUGGCCUCUGCUCAAGGAUGCCACACACAAAUCUAUUAUACAUAUAUAU
rfam:Cucumis sativus cultivar 9930 chromosome 3, whole genome shotgun sequence.